rnacentral:rRNA from 1 species
UUAAGCGACUAAGCGUACACGGUGGAUGCCCUGGCAGUCAGAGGCGAUGAAGGACGUGCUAAUCUGCGAUAAGCGUCGGUGAGGUGAUAUGAACCGUUAUAACCGGCGAUUUCCGAAUGGGGAAACCCAGUGUGUUUCGACACACUAUCAUUAACUGAAUCCAUAGGUUAAUGAGGCGAACCGGGGGAACUGAAACAUCUAAGUACCCCGAGGAAAAGAAAUCAACCGAGAUUCCCCCAGUAGCGGCGAGCGAACGGGGAGGAGCCCAGAGCCUGAAUCAGUGUGUGUGUUAGUGGAAGCGUCUGGAAAGGCGUGCGAUACAGGGUGACAGCCCCGUACACAAAAAUGCACAUACUGUGAGCUCGAUGAGUAGGGCGGGACACGUGGUAUCCUGUCUGAAUAUGGGGGGACCAUCCUCCAAGGCUAAAUACUCCUGACUGACCGAUAGUGAACCAGUACCGUGAGGGAAAGGCGAAAAGAACCCCGGCGAGGGGAGUGAAAAAGAACCUGAAACCGUGUACGUACAAGCAGUGGGAGCCUCUUAAUGGGGUGACUGCGUACCUUUUGUAUAAUGGGUCAGCGACUUAUAUUCUGUAGCAAGGUUAACCGAAUAGGGGAGCCGAAGGGAAACCGAGUCUUAACUGGGCGUUAAGUUGCAGGGUAUAGACCCGAAACCCGGUGAUCUAGCCAUGGGCAGGUUGAAGGUUGGGUAACACUAACUGGAGGACCGAACCGACUAAUGUUGAAAAAUUAGCGGAUGACUUGUGGCUGGGGGUGAAAGGCCAAUCAAACCGGGAGAUAGCUGGUUCUCCCCGAAAGCUAUUUAGGUAGCGCCUCGUGAAUUCAUCUCCGGGGGUAGAGCACUGUUUCGGCAAGGGGGUCAUCCCGACUUACCAACCCGAUGCAAACUGCGAAUACCGGAGAAUGUUAUCACGGGAGACACACGGCGGGUGCUAACGUCCGUCGUGAAGAGGGAAACAACCCAGACCGCCAGCUAAGGUCCCAAAGUCAUGGUUAAGUGGGAAACGAUGUGGGAAGGCCCAGACAGCCAGGAUGUUGGCUUAGAAGCAGCCAUCAUUUAAAGAAAGCGUAAUAGCUCACUGGUCGAGUCGGCCUGCGCGGAAGAUGUAACGGGGCUAAACCAUGCACCGAAGCUGCGGCAGCGACACUAUGUGUUGUUGGGUAGGGGAGCGUUCUGUAAGCCUGUGAAGGUGUACUGUGAGGUAUGCUGGAGGUAUCAGAAGUGCGAAUGCUGACAUAAGUAACGAUAAAGCGGGUGAAAAGCCCGCUCGCCGGAAGACCAAGGGUUCCUGUCCAACGUUAAUCGGGGCAGGGUGAGUCGACCCCUAAGGCGAGGCCGAAAGGCGUAGUCGAUGGGAAACAGGUUAAUAUUCCUGUACUUGGUGUUACUGCGAAGGGGGGACGGAGAAGGCUAUGUUGGCCGGGCGACGGUUGUCCCGGUUUAAGCGUGUAGGCUGGUUUUCCAGGCAAAUCCGGAAAACCAAGGCUGAGGCGUGAUGACGAGGCACUACGGUGCUGAAGCGACAAAUGCCCUGCUUCCAGGAAAAGCCUCUAAGCAUCAGGUAACAUUAAAUCGUACCCCAAACCGACACAGGUGGUCAGGUAGAGAAUACCAAGGCGCUUGAGAGAACUCGGGUGAAGGAACUAGGCAAAAUGGUGCCGUAACUUCGGGAGAAGGCACGCUGAUAUGUAGGUGAAGCGACUUGCUCGUGGAGCUGAAAUCAGUCGAAGAUACCAGCUGGCUGCAACUGUUUAUUAAAAACACAGCACUGUGCAAACACGAAAGUGGACGUAUACGGUGUGACGCCUGCCCGGUGCCGGAAGGUUAAUUGAUGGGGUUAGCGGUAACGCGAAGCUCUUGAUCGAAGCCCCGGUAAACGGCGGCCGUAACUAUAACGGUCCUAAGGUAGCGAAAUUCCUUGUCGGGUAAGUUCCGACCUGCACGAAUGGCGUAAUGAUGGCCAGGCUGUCUCCACCCGAGACUCAGUGAAAUUGAACUCGCUGUGAAGAUGCAGUGUACCCGCGGCAAGACGGAAAGACCCCGUGAACCUUUACUAUAGCUUGACACUGAACAUUGAGCCUUGAUGUGUAGGAUAGGUGGGAGGCUUUGAAGUGUGGACGCCAGUCUGCAUGGAGCCGACCUUGAAAUACCACCCUUUAAUGUUUGAUGUUCUAACGUGGGCCCCUUACCGGGGUUGCGGACAGUGUCUGGUGGGUAGUUUGACUGGGGCGGUCUCCUCCUAAAGAGUAACGGAGGAGCACGAAGGUUGGCUAAUCCUGGUCGGACAUCAGGAGGUUAGUGCAAUGGCAUAAGCCAGCUUGACUGCGAGCGUGACGGCGCGAGCAGGUGCGAAAGCAGGUCAUAGUGAUCCGGUGGUUCUGAAUGGAAGGGCCAUCGCUCAACGGAUAAAAGGUACUCCGGGGAUAACAGGCUGAUACCGCCCAAGAGUUCAUAUCGACGGCGGUGUUUGGCACCUCGAUGUCGGCUCAUCACAUCCUGGGGCUGAAGUAGGUCCCAAGGGUAUGGCUGUUCGCCAUUUAAAGUGGUACGCGAGCUGGGUUUAGAACGUCGUGAGACAGUUCGGUCCCUAUCUGCCGUGGGCGCUGGAGAACUGAGGGGGGCUGCUCCUAGUACGAGAGGACCGGAGUGGACGCAUCACUGGUGUUCGGGUUGUCAUGCCAAUGGCACUGCCCGGUAGCUAAAUGCGGAAGAGAUAAGUGCUGAAAGCAUCUAAGCACGAAACUUGCCCCGAGAUGAGUUCUCCCUGACUCCUUGAGAGUCCUGAAGGAACGUUGAAGACGACGACGUUGAUAGGCCGGGUGUGUAAGCGCAGCGAUGCGUUGAGCUAACCGGUACUAAUGAACCGUGAGGCUUAACCUU